UGGCACUGGUGUCCGUUCCUACCCAAAUUAACACCGUGGCCUCGCCUCAACCUCCUCAUCUCAAAUAUCCAAACCAUUCCCUCAAAUAUCAACCAAAUCAUUCGAAUCUUCAUUUGAAAAUCCGGACAAAAACUCCACCUCUCCCGAAUUCGACCAAAAUCGUACCCCACAGUCUCUUGGAUCUCCUUAUUCUGAAUCCCAAGCCAAAAACCUUCAAGUUCAAGUGAAGCUCCUACAAUUUCAAUUCUAGGGUUUUAGGAGUUUGAAGUUCUUCUGGGUUUUGGAAGUUUCAGCUUGGCUCAGUUGAUGUAUUGUGUUUAGUGAAGGCCGAGUCAGUAAGUUUUCUCGUCCUUGUUCGAUUUUUUCCGUUUAUGGUUGAAUCUGUGCUCAUGCUUUUUGUUUUUUGAAGUUUAAUCUUGUAUGUGGAUUGAUUCAGUUCUCUUGAUUGUUAAUUUUUGUCUUCAUCUUGUUGAAUCAAUGUUUGUUCCUACUAGUAUAGUUUUAAGAUUUACUGAUUAGUUUAGUUAGGCUUAAUCUUUUGUUUAUCCUUCUAUUCGUUCUUAGAAUUAAUCUUGACUCAAUUUUGAUUCAUGUUUUGUUCUUGGUUUUAAUUAUUUAAUUGAUAGAUGUUGCUUUAAAUUUGAUUUUAACCUGGUUCGUUUAUGGUUAAUACUUAGUACACUGACUAGCCUAGGAAAUAAGUAAAUUAAGGUGAAUAACCUAGAUUUUAGUUAAUCGUGGGAGCUGGGUUAGAUGAUAGUGAGUUGGUAAUUUCAGGUUGAAUUCAAGGGUAGUAUAGGUUUUUGGACAAAGGGAAUUUGGUAGUAUUUGAAAUCAGAAACUUCUAGAAAAAUCUAAAAGGGGUUUCGUUGAAGUUUCAGAUUCAUAAUAGGGUAGCUUGAGUAAUAAAUUAGUAAAUAAAGGAGUAACUAAAUAAAAAUUAAAUAUAAAAGAGAUUCUAAAAUGAUAAAGUUGAAAUCUCAGGGCUGCCCUCAUCUUUGCCUACAAAAGGCAUGUCUAAUACCUUGAUUCACAAGUUUCAGCCUCUAAAGUUCCCCUCAAAAGUGUUCAACAAGUAUUAAUCUGAUAUUUAAAUUUCAAAGUCCAAAAAUCUUCAAAAACCAAAAAACAAUAACAAAAAACCUUCAAAAUUGAAAAAAGGUACUCUUUCAUUGGAAAUCUCAGGAUAAUUUUGAUUUUUUAUUGUUGAUUCACACCUUCUAGUUCAAUAUCUGGUUGCUGUAGUUUCAGAGAUCUGCUGAUUUGAUUUCGAGUGGGUUUUUUGGGUUCAAUCAAAUUAUUUUGGGUCAUUUUUGGUGUUGUAUCUCUGUUACAUUCUCCUGGUUUAUUUGACAUCGAGUACUGGAUUAAAUUUGAUUACAAAUUGUCUCCUGAUUUCGAGCUGAGUACUGUUGCUUGCUUUUGACUUCUCUUACUUCUUCUUUCAUUAUAAAUUCCAAGGAUUCUCUAAUCUUCAAUGUGUGAAGGAUUUUUGUAUCAUCAAUAUGAUUGAAUAUUUGAAGGAUGUGAUAUGUUGUUCAUACCUUGCUUAUAGAAGAUUUCGAAUUCUGAAUUGUGUAAUAGUGAUAUUGAAGUUUUAAUGACAUGAACACUCCCUGAUUUGUACCUAAUUAGACUGUUAAGUUUGUAGUUAUCCAUCUGUAGCCUUAGUAUAGUUUAGUACUUUCUUUAGUUUAACGUUUUGUGUAAAAUAAAAAAAAUCAGAAAUAGUUUAGAUUUGCAAUUGAUUCUGAGAUCAGCGUGCGGUGUCCACGUCAAUUUUAAUUCCAAGUUGAAUGUGCGUCUCAAACAACUUCAUACUGCAGUAGCUAAUUUCAGUAUAUUAGUUAUUAAUGUCAACGUCUGCGUUUCAUUGAGUUCACUGUUUCAGCAUAGGUGUUAAUAAUUU
rnacentral:lncRNA from 1 species